AUGGGGUGCAGUGUGAGAUGAGGUGGAGUGUGUGGGAUGCAGUGUGAGAUGGGGUGCAGUAUCUGGGUGGAGGGGUGCAGUGUAUGUGGAAGCAGUGAGUGGGGGUGCAGUGUGAGAUGGGGUGCUGCAUAUGGGGUGCAGUGUGUAUGUGUAUUGCAGUGUGAUAUGGGAUGCAGUAUCAGGAUGGAGGGGUGCAGUGUGAGAUGGGUGCAAUGUGUGGAGGGUUGCAGUGUGAGAUGGGGUGCAGUAUCAGGAUGGAAGGGUGCAGUGUCUGGG